rnacentral:rRNA from 1 species
GCCCUUCGGGGUACACGAGCGGCGAACGGGUGAGUAACACGUGAGCAACCUGCCCCCGACUCCGGGAUAAGCGGUGGAAACGCCGUCUAAUACCGGAUACGACCGGCCACCUCAUGGUGGCGGGUGGAAAGUUUUUCGGUUGGGGAUGGGCUCGCGGCCUAUCAGCUAGUUGGUGGGGUAAAGGCCUACCAAGGCGAUUACGGGUAGCCGGCCUGAGAGGGCGACCGGCCACACUGGGACUGAGACACGGCCCAGACUCCUGCGGGAGGCAGCAGUGGGGAAUAUUGCGCAAUGGGCGAAAGCCUGACGCAGCGACGCCCGCGUGGGGGAUGACGGCCUUUCGGGUUGUAAACCUCUUUUACCACCAACGCAGGCUCCCAGUUCUCUGGGGGUUGACGGUAGGUGGGGAAUAAGGACCGGCUAACUACGUGCCAGCAGCCGCGGUAAUACGUAGGGUCCGAGCGUUGUCCGGAAUUAUUGGGCGUAAAGAGCUCGUAGGCGGCGUGUCGCGUCUGCUGUGAAAGACCGGGGCUUAACUCCGGUUCUGCAGUGGAUACGGGCAUGCUAGAGGUAGGUAGGGGAGACUGGAAUUCCUGGUGUAGCGGUGAAAUGCGCAGAUAUCAGGAGGAACACCGGUGGCGAAGGCGGGUCUCUGGGCCUUACCUGACGCUGAGGAGCGAAAGCAUGGGGAGCGAACAGGAUUAGAUACCCUGGUAGUCCAUGCCGUAAACGUUGGGCGCUAGGUGUGGGGACUUUCCACGGUUUCCGCGCCGUAGCUAACGCAUUAAGCGCCCCGCCUGGGGAGUACGGCCGCAAGGCUAAAACUCAAAGGAAUUGACGGGGGCCCGCACAAGCGGCGGAGCAUGUUGCUUAAUUCGACGCAACGCGAAGAACCUUUACCAAGGUUUGACAUCACCCGUGGACCUGCAGAGAUGUGGGGUCAUUUAGUUGGUGGGUGACAGGUGGUGCAUGGCUGUCGUCAGCUCGUGUCGUGAGAUGUUGGGUUAAGUCCCGCAACGAGCGCAACCCUUAUUUCCAUGUUGCCAGCACGUAAUUGGUGGGGGACU